rnacentral:rRNA from 1 species
UGGGGAAUAUUGGACAAUGGGCGAAAGCCUGAUCCAGCAACGCCGCGUGAGGGAUGACGGCCUUCGGGUUGUAAACCUCUUUCAGCAGGGACGAAGCGCAAGUGACGGUACCUGCAGAAGAAGCACCGGCCAACUACGUGCCAGCAGCCGCGGUAAUACGUAGGGUGCGAGCGUUGUCCGGAAUUAUUGGGCGUAAAGGGCUCGUAGGCGGUUUGUCACGUCGGGAGUGAAAACUCGGGCUUAACCCCGAGCCUGCUUCCGAUACGGGCUGACUAGAGGUAUGCAGGGGGGAGAACGGAAUUCCUGGUGUAGCGGUGAAAUGCGCAGAUAUCAGGAGGAACACCGGUGGCGAAGGCGGUUCUCUGGGCAUUACCUGACGCUGAGGAGCGAAAGUGUGGGGAGCGAACAGGAUUAGAUACCCUGGUAGUCCACACCGUAAACGUUGGGCGCUAGGUGUGGGACUCAUUCCACGAGUUCCGUGCCGCAGCUAACGCAUUAAGCGCCCCG